CUUUAAAGCCCACCGGUACCAACUGCUCCUCUGGAGCGGGGCCAGCUAUGCUGGAGGUCACAACCCGGUAGGAUACUACAAUAAGCAAUCCGCAGCGGCUCAGCCGUCCACAGACUAAGUGGUUGUGGGUAGGGAUCCCCUACUUAAGAUAUAGUCGGGCCUUGUGACAAGUCAUAAGGGCUUCUGCGUCCGUAGGUGAACCUGCGGAAGGAUCAUUA
rnacentral:rRNA from 1 species